CCUACGGGAGACAGCAGUAAGGGAUAUUGGUCAAUGGGGGAAACCCUGAACCAGCAACGCCGCGUGAGGGUAGACGGUUUUCGGAUUGUAAACCUCUGUCCUCUGUGAAGAUGAUGACGGUCGCAGAGGAGGAAGCUCCGGCUAACUACGUGCCAGCAGCCGCGGUAAUACGUAGGGAGCGAGGGUUGUCCGGAUUUACUGGUUUUAAGGGGUGCGUAGGCGGCUUGGCAAGUCAGGAGUGAAAUCCAUGGGCUUAACCCAUGAACUGCUAUUGAAACUGUCGAGCUUGAGUGAAGUCGGGGUAGGCGGAAUGCGCGGUGUAGCGGUGAAAUGCGUAGAGAUCGGGAGGAACACCAGUUGCGAAGGCGGCCUACGGGGCUUUAACUGACGCUGAGGCACGAAAGCGUGGGUAGCAAACAGGAUUAGAUACCCCUGUAGUC
rnacentral:rRNA from 1 species